GACUAUAGUACAGUUACUAUGUUGUUGUUUUUGUGUGUAGUUCUUCUACUGUGCUCCAGGGGGCCCUACAUGAUUUUCUAUGGUAAGGGAUAAAAUGGAUGUAGGCAGUAGAGUAAGACAUACCUGUUUGAUUAAGCGGAAACAUGGCUUUCACUUACAUAACCUUACCGCAAAUGGAGUUCAGUUUGAGAAACUUAGGUUUUCAGCUCAAUCAAAAGAACUCUUUUUGUUUCUGUCUUUCCGUUUUCUUCUUUACUUUGAAUGCCUCAUCAAUGGACUAAGAAGUAACUUCAUCAAAACUCUGUGCUCAUCGAGGGACAAAUCAACAUCAAAGAAUUGCAACGCACUCUAUGUUUUGAGGAAACUCGGAUUGCUGAUUAUUAAUGUUACUCUUGCUAUCGGACUAUUGGAUUUUGUUAACUCCUAUCAUCAUUGAGGACUUCAGUAUUCGGAUUCAGUGCUUGUUUCGGCUUAGAGACGAGUACUCAUUCAACCAGAUAAGUUUUUUUGUCCUUUAUUUUGAUAAAUGAUUAAUGCGACGGUUUGUUUUGUAUUCAAAAAGACUUUAUUGACUGUUUUUCAUACACAUGCCGUAAUGAUCUGUGGAUUGCCUUUAUUUAUAUAAACAUUUUGUAAUGCA